rnacentral:rRNA from 1 species
CACCUCUCAACUAAGGGCGAAUGGUGGAUGCCUAGACUCUAAAAGGCGAUGAAGGACGCGGCGUAGCGGCGAUACGCCUCGGGGAGGUGCGUAGCAACCUGUGAUCCGGGGAUUUCCGAAUGGGGCAACCUUAUUGAGCAAACCUCAAUAGCUCAACGCAAGUUGAGAGCGAACCAGGCGAAGUAAAACAUUUCAGUAGCCUGAGGAAUAAAGAACAAAAGUUUAUCCCCCUAGUAUCGGCGAGAGAAAAGGGGAGAGCCCAGACUGAGAUUAAAUUUAUUUAAUUUCAGAGUUAUAAGUUUAAAGGCGGCGUUUGCGCAGCUUACAGCUCCCAGCAUCCAGCUAAAAACUGGAGGCCGGCAGCUGGUAGCAGCGUAAGCGGAGAAGUUACAAAAUCAUCGGUUAGCCAAAGCCGACUGGAAAGCGGCGCCAGAGCGGGUGAUAGCCCCCUAGGCGAAAACAGAUGAUCUUCUUAGUCUUUUUUCUUGAGUACUUCGGAGUAAAACAGUUCCGGAGGAAUUCGCCAGUACUAUCUGGCAAGGCUAAAUACUUUUAGAGAUCGAUAGUGAACAAGUACCGUGAGGGAAAGGUGAAAAGCAGGCCGGUGAGGCCGUUGAAAUAGAACCUGAAACCAUUUGUCUACAAGGAAAAGAAGUGGGAAGUGGGAGGUGGGAUGUGGGAAGCGAGAUUUCUCACUCCUCACAUCUCACCCCUCACCCCACAACUUUGUGCCUAUUGAAGAAUGAGCCAACGACUUAUUUUGUAUUGCAGUCUAAGCACCAUUGGUGCGAAGGCGUAGGGAAACCGAGUGUUAAAAGCGCGCAAUAUAUGCAGUACGAUAUAGACCCGAAGCCAGAUGAGCUUGCCCUGGGCAGGUUGAAGUUUCCCGAAAGGGAGAUGGAGGACCGAACUGGUGAGUUGUUCAACACUCUCGGAUGACCUGGGGUAAGGAGUGAAAAGCUAAUCGAAUCUGGUAAUAGCUGGUUCUCUCCGAAAUAGUUUUAGGACUAGCGGUAUCGAUAAACUGUGUGGGGGUAGAGCACUGGAUGGUUCGUACAGUCCGAAAGGGCGGCGCACCAAUCAAACUCCGAAUACCAUGCAAGGCACCGAUACUAGUCAGACUGCGGGGGCUAAGCUCCGUGGUCGCGAGGGGAAGAGCCCAGAUCGCAAGUUAAGGUCCCCAAAUCUACGCUCAGUGCGAAAGGCAGUCGCAGACCAUAGACAGGUAGGAGGUUGGCUUAGAGGUAGCCAUCCUUUAAAGAGUGUGUAACAACUCACUACUCGAUGGUUUGCGGCGCCGAAAAUGUACCGGGACUCAAGCGUAGUACCGAAACUGCGGGUGGGAUGCAGAUGCGAGGGAUUCUUGAAGACGGUCUUUAAAGACGGUCUUCAAGUUCGGAUUCC